ACUAUGGAGAGUUUGAUCCUGGCUCAGGAUGAACGCUAGCGGGAGGCCUAAUACAUGCAAGUCGAGCGGUAGAGUCCUUCGGGGCUUGAGAGCGGCGCACGGGUGAGUAACGCGUACAUGACCUACCUUUAAGUUUGGGAUAGCCCUGGGAAACUGGGAUUAAUACCGGAUGUGAUAAUAGAUAUAGAGAUUUAUUAUUAAAGCUGAGGCGCUUAGAGAUGGGUGUGCGUUUGAUUAGCUAGUUGGUAGGGUAACGGCCUACCAAGGCUACGAUCAAUAGGGGGCGUGAGAGCGUGGCCCCCCACACGGGUACUGAGACACGGACCCGACUCCUACGGGAGGCAGCAGUAAGGAAUAUUGGUCAAUGGACGGAAGUCUGAACCAGCCAUCCCGCGUGCAGGAUG
rnacentral:rRNA from 1 species